AAAAUUUGGUUUCACAAUGCCCUGCUUCAUUUUAGGUUUUCCAAAUUUCUCCUCUGCUUCUCUCAUUUCUUCAGUCUUUUCAUGUUCACUGUCUUCUUCAUUGACUCUUUCAAAUUCAAGCUUCUUAAUUGUAUUUUGUGGUAAGUUUUUCUCGCUUUUUUCUUCCUUAGUUUUUUUUUUUUGCUUCAAUAUUUUUCUUGUGCAAUUACUGAUAUUUUUAGAGAAUAUAAAGACAUGAAGUUUACAGAUGUGACCAUUUUUAUUUUCACUGAUCCAUUUGUGGAAAGGAAAAUUGGAUGAAAAUGACUAUAAACAAAAUAAUAUUUAACAACCAUCCAAACAAGUUGUUGAUGAAGAUGGAGAUACUGUUGCUCAAAUUUCGACAUACAUUCAUCAUCUGAAUCAAAUUUUGAUAUUUAUUCUUUUAGGUUAUUGUUCUCUAUUGUAUUUUCUCUAUAAAUAAUAUAUGAAUGUCAAUAGUAUUUUCUGAUUUAUUCAUGCAUCUUCACGAAUAAAUACUCAAGUUUCCUUAGUGCACCAAGGGUGUUUGAUAAUAUGCCUACAUCGAGAUGGAUCUUUGAUUCAGCACUAAAGGUUGGUCAAGCUGUGAACUAAUAAUUAUUUUUCCGUUCCUCGCUUCUUAGUGAACUUUUUUGUACUGUUGAAGGGAGAGAGGUAGAAAAGAGAUAUGCGAUACAGAAAUAUCAAGACAAAUAAAUAAAUGUCUUUUUUUCCUUUUCUUAAGUGAAGGAGAAAAGGAAAAAACAUAUGAUUGUUAUUUGUGGAAUUUGAACCUUUCAAUUCCAGGUAGAGUUUAAGUUAUUCAUAAAAUGAAUUCACCCUCAACUCCCUCUAAUUCUAUAUAGAAGCAACAUUACGUGCCUCAUUAUGAAAAAUCAUUUUUUUCCCAUUUUAUCACAGCUAAACUGGAAGGACCAAAGUUAUUUUCUUGCUUCCUGGAAUAAGAAUACAAGAGGGUACUUGAAUGUUUCUCAUAAUAUCAAAUAAUUUAGAAUAAUUGAAGGAUAUUCUCUAGAUUUGGUAACAACAUUUGAUGUUGGACCUAAUUAAUGUGCGGAAUGAUAGUUAAGUUAUCCGUAUGCGGUCAUCAUCAGUUGUAUUGGGUUAUGAAUGCUAACGAUAUGAAAUAAUGCAUUUAUUGCAAAUGAUGUACCUUUACAUUUGAGUUUUAUACAUGAUCAAUGUAAAUAUUUUUUGCACUAUCAGGUUAGCAGAUUUACAUUAACCUUCUUGAUAAAAUGUGCUACCCACAUGUAAAAAUUAUUUACGUUACGUUGACAAUGUAUAUUAUUUAUUAAACUCAUAUGUUUUAUUGUGCUUUCUAUUCUGGCUUUGAAAUUUGGGGCUGAGAAAAAGGUUGGGAUGUUCAUUGUUCAACUAAUUUGAGAUAUUAGACGAUGCUAUUGAUGUAAUGAAAUUGGAAGAUGGUGUAAUUCAAAACAUGGUAAAGUCUCUGAUUUGUAUUCACAAGUUGCAAUUCUUGAUGUUUUUCAUUGUAUUGAGUUAUUUUUCAUAAUAUUGACAAUUUUGACAAAUCUACAAUGAUUUUAACUCCACUAUAUACAUACUUGGUCGCCCAUGGAAGUAGUUUGAAAAGAUAAUUCAGCAAUUAUUUGGAAACCUUUCCUCAUGUUGGGAACCAAAAUGAGGUACAAGAAGCAAUGUAAAGUGUACUUCAAAUAGAACUUGAGUUGUACGAGUAGGGUUAAAAUAGUAAAUUCACUUUAUUCACUCUCUCACCUCUGCUUCUACUCUUUCUUCACUGCCUGACAACAUUGACAACCAUUUUAAACCUUCAACGGAGUUAAACUUUACUUCAGAGUCUCACUCCAACUUCUAAAGUUCUUUCAAUUGUUUACCUGGUAAGUAUUCUUGUGUGGUAUUGGCCCUCUUCCCUUAUGAAUUUUUACUCUUUUUUUUUUCAUUAUUGUGUUUAUGCUUCCUAUUAUUCUACUGAUUUUUCUUAUUUAUAGGUCUUCCACAAUUUUUCUUGAAUUCUUUUGAGUUCUUAUAGAUGCCUCUUGAAAUACAUGCAUAAUUUUGUUUUCAAUAUUUUGCAGUUUCUAACUCUAAAAUACUAAAAAUAUUAGUAGUAUUUUCUUAUCAAUAUAUGAUACUUUUUGCAGAUAAUUAAUGGCUUGAUGCGGUUGCAUGUUUGACGAAAUUUCCCGUGAAGGUAAGACUUGUGUGUUAUGAAGAGAGAUUAGUUACAAGAGUUGAUUGUUUUGGCAGAUGAUUCAAGGUGCUAAUGAAGUUGAACGGUGGGCUUAGGUGAAUAGACAUUUUCCCUUAUAAUAUCUUUUUUCCAUAUGGCAUCUUCCCCAAAAAAAAUUGAGAAAGAAUUUGAGUUGCCGAAUUCUUUGAUGCUGCCAUGAAAUUAGAAGUGAUAAUGUAAUGCUGAAAAUUCAGGGUAAGCUUUCAGUAUUGAUCUUUUUGUUGUUUGAACUACAUUUUUGAAAAAAAUCAGCUACUAAUAUAGUAAGUUGAGGUGGUAUUCAAAGACAAAUUGUUUAAAUACAAAGUCAGAAUAACAAGCAGGUUGAAUCAGGCGAAAAGGUUGAUUUCUGGCUCUCCAAUUUCCAAGUCCUUUAAGGAACCAUUCCACAUUUUCUUAAGAACCUUUAAACUUUUGGCAAUGGACCGUGAUGUUGGUGUCGCAUUUAUUUUUAGCAGUUGUUCUUGGAUAAAAGCUGGAACUUUAAUAUUGAAAAUUCUGUUACUAGAUUGAGUUCUAGAAGUCUGUCAUAUGAUCUUAUGCUUUCUCAAAGUUUUUGUUUCAUGUGUUCAUAUUAGUUAGAUACAAUUGAUAAUGUUAAAAAUAUUUUUCAUCUGAUCAAUCCAGAAAAAAAUGAACAUAAGAAAUGUAGCAAAUAAGUAAUAAUGUUGACGCUAGAAUUUUUUUGAGAAAUGAGUGAGUAAUAAAAUGUCCGGGUAAUGGAAGAAUCCUAUAAGACUAUUAAUUUAACGCAGAAACAAACUCUUUUCUUUAAUCUUGAGUUUGUUGAUCAAGAAUAGCUACUAACUCCUAAACUUUUUUAUAUCAUACGUGAAAUAGGAGUAGUAAUUUGAGUAUGCAAUAUAAUAAUAUUGUGUUAAGAGUGCUGUCAUAUGCUUUUUAUAGAGAAAUAUCAACUUCAUGUUUUCUCUUUUAUUUGUAGCAUAAUAUUCUUUCAUCAGAAUUUUGUGUCAUGGUCAUUAAUGGGUUCCUUCUUUUGCUUAUUGCAUUUGAAGGUUUGGCAAUGAAAUAGAUGAAAAAAAUGGAGGUUUUGCUUGAUCCAAGUAUGAGCUCUAAAAUGUAUGUGUUUAUCUUUCGCAAACAUUUUUAGCUAAUUUAUUCUCACAUUCAUUUGUUUUUGAAUAUUUUUACUCUUUCCAUGUCCCUCAAUAGAAGUAAAACAAACAUUUAUUUUGUAUUUCACGAGAGACAAUUUUGUAUAUGAGAUGUAGGUGAGACGAAGAGAAGCUGACAUUUUUAGUAUGUGCUCUUUCUAUGUCCCCAAAUUAAGAAGCAUAAGGAUAGGUAGAGCAUGAGCUCUUGCAGACUAAGUUGUUGUAUUAUAUGUUAAAUGUAAUAAAAGGAUUUUCUUAGUGGUUUAUACAACAUCAAUGUAAUAUUAUGUUAUUCAAACUUAAGGUCUGAUUUGAUUGUGAACUUUGGGCGGCCCAAAGUAAGAAAUGAACUUUUUGUUUUAGAACUACCAACUUCCAUAUUUGAAUGUGUAGCAGCCAUUAAAAAGAUAUCGAUUGAGUGCUUAUAACUUUAAGGUGGAAUAGAACUACAAAAAGUUAGGGUUGAUGUUCAUAAAAUAAACAAAUGGUGAAGCUUGCCAAUUGUAAAUCAAAUAUGUACAAAUAGUUGAACUGGUCGGUACUGACAGGUACAACCUUUGGUAUUUUUAUACAUAUGUUUGGAAAACACUUGCCUAAAUUUCCAUUUUGCAAAAAUAGGAGGAUUGACAGUAAUCUCAAUUUCAAUUGGUGGAUAGUUAUGAGAGUAAAAAUUAUUAAAUGAGUUUAGAUGAUUAAUAUACAAAGUGAAAACGUGAGAGAUCUACUAUUGAGUUCUUGUCAUAUCAGAGUCAACAACUUUGUUCGAACUGAUCGUUACACGCUUGUGAACAAUUUUGUAAAAAUAACCUAAAAAAUAAAGAGUUACAAGUGACUAUACAAACUCUUACAUGGAACUCUGGUGAACAACUCAUGCCUUUGAUUUGCUUCACUAUAUUAUGUUCGAAUACCACUUGAUUGUAUGAAGAGCUCCUACUUUGUUUUACUCAAUUUAUUCUAGGAUGUGAAAGUGAGUUUGCCUUAUAUGGGUCAAUUUAUGCAUACUGAACGUCAACAUCAGUUGUGGUAUUAGGUGUAUUAAACUUUAUUGCUGAAAUAUUGUAAAGAUGUACAAUUUCUCAAAUGGGUGGAUUUGUUGAUCUCCACAACCAACUAUACAAGAAUAUUGGAAACAAAUGGAAUUGGGUAUUUCAAAACAGGGAAGUCAUAUUUGUCGCGUUGGAAAAUUCGUCGUUUUUGCUUAUUUGUUUCUGGUGUGAAGGCUGAAAACUUUAUCUAAACUAUCAUGUGUGUGUGAGA
rnacentral:lncRNA from 1 species